AUAUUUAUUUAUAUUUUUAUAAUCACUUUAUAAAAAUCUAAAGAAUGAUAUUAUACAUGUGUGUUGUAAAUUAAUCUUAUUCAGUAAUGUGAGAAACUUGUAGUUUAAAGAGUUGAGUCUCACUUUUUUUUAUAGGGUAUCUUCUUCAUGAUAAAUUGUUUUUCUUCCGGAAAAAAACUGUGCUGUAUCGAAAUUGUACGAGAUUGACAUCGUUAAUUCAUGCUAAAUAUCAAAAUUUCGCAACGAUUUGUACUCAAUGUUAAGAAAGAAUUUUACAGUCUGCUUAAAAUUCAUAAUGACCCAUUCAUGUUAAAAGGUAACGGAUUUAAUAUAGCAAUUAAGUUUUUACAACGGAAAGAAUUUUCUAUAUUAUAGUUUUUAUAUCAUUGUAAAGAACUUUUAUUUUUAUUCAAAGUUUAUUCGUCCAACCUCAGAUAAAAGAUACAGUUAAUAUCUUUUUUGUAAAUAGAACUAUCAAUAGGAAUCAUGAAAAUCAAAUAUUUGAGAAAGUGAAACAAAGUCAAACUACUAACAAGUAAGAACCAAGAUGUAUUUAAAUUUAAUUCCAAAGUCUUCUCUCGCUAAAUCAUUCUUUUAAUUUAUUCUUCCGUGAUAAAAAGCCAAUUUUAAGCAAAUGCAAGAUUAAUUUGUGUUGGUCGAAGAACCCGAAGCUCCUAGGCACGUGCUUCAAGUGUCUAAUGGUUAAUUUAGUAUGGGUAAAGGCAUAUAAAUAUGAAACAAAAACAUAAAACAUAAUAAAUUCAUUUGUAGAAAAUAAUUCAAAUUAUAAGAAGCAUUCUGAUCUUAAAAGAAUUAAGUAUAAGGAAACCUUUAAAUAUUUCUGUAAUUAAAACUAUUCUACUGUUUUUAGACUUAAAAAAUUUCUAAAAAUUAUAUUAUUUUAGAAAUAUAAAUCACAAUUAGUUUUCAAUCUGAUAUAAAAACCUUUAAACAUAAAGAAAAAUAUCGAUUGUAAGAUACCGAUUAUCAUAUUCAGGUUAAAGAUUAUUUCUGAAUAUGAUAAUCGGUAUCUGAACAUUAGAUUCCGGUAUAUGAACAAAAUAAAUCAAAGAAACUAAAAUGCAAAUCAGUGAAAUUCAUAAAAGAAUCCGUUAAAGUAUGAAUUAUUAUCCAUAAAAAACACAGAAAUCCCAUAAAAAUUAUAAAUUAAAAUCCUUACGGAUCAUAUUAAAAAUUAUUUCAAGAAUUUGAGAAUACUGUACGAGAGAAAAGUCAUAUUUAAAUGAAUCAGAGGAUUAAUUCGGAGAAUAAAAGGCCAUUUAUCAGACUGAAUUUUGAUACUUUUUAAUUACAAUAUUUAAAUAUUAUUUCAUAUAUAAUGUUGAUUUUUUUAUAUUAUUUAUUAAUUUUACAUUAAAAUGAUUUUAAUUGUUGUAGGCCUACUUUGAAAGUGAAG